GACCCUGUAGCAUGUGGCAUGCCUCUGCCUUCCUUUCAGAUGUAGUAUGUUGUUUCUCUAGCGGAAGAUCCCGGUUCGAUUCCGGGCGGGGUCG